GUAUGCCUGUUGCCUAAGCUCUCAGCCUCAGGCUGCCGUGGCUGCUUUCUCCCUCGCUGCCUCGUGGCCUCCCUUCGCCUCCCUUUGUCUGGGGUCUUUGUCUGUGGUCCCUGCGGUCCACAGUCCUCGGCCUCCCCUCCCUUUCUCCCCGGCCUGGCUGCUCCCUCCCUCUCUGCGGGGGCCGGGAGGCUCGGCGAGGGGAGCGGGCUGGGUUGCCAUGGUCACAUCGAAGCCUGCCGCAGCUGGCCCGGGCAGCUGCUCCUGGGGCUCCGGAUGGGCGGACAAAGCCAGGCGGCCUUGGCAGCCCCAGAGCCGGAACCCCAAAGCCCUGAGGCAGGGGGGGACUGCGACCCAGGAGAACCCUGAGCUGGAGUGGACUCCUCGGUCUGGCACCGCCAUGCCACGUGGCCAGGGUCAGCGUGCGCCUGGGGUGUGGAAUGUCCCACUGGGGUGUGAG
ensembl:lncRNA